rnacentral:rRNA from 1 species
UACGUAGGGGGCAAGCGUUGUCCGGAAUUAUUGGGCGUAAAGCGCGCGCAGGCGGUAUGUUAAGUCUGGUGUUUAAGCCCGGGGCUCAACCUCGGGACGCACUGGAAACUGGCAAACUGGAGUGCAGGAGAGGAAAGCGGAAUUCCACGUGUAGCGGUGAAAUGCGUAGAGAUGUGGAGGAACACCAGUGGCGAAGGCGGCUUUCUGGCCUGUAACUGACGCUGAGGCGCGAAAGCGUGGGGAGCAAACAGG